GCAGAAGACUGCACCUAGGCAGAACGCAGCUGCGUAAAGAUACGCAGGAUGCGCAAAGCCCAUGCCUCCAACAUCUACGGGCAACCCCAGUGUCCACCAGUGCUAUGAGCUACACCCAUCCACACAGGGUGCCCCGACUUCCCUUCUGAUUUCAGGGAGCCCUCCUUCCACCACUUCAAAUAACUCACAACCCGCAACCUUUGGAAGGCCUCAGUCUGCAAGAAAACAUCAGGAUUUUGUCAAGCAAUUGAUUAAUGACCACUAGUUGGGACGAAGGAGAUUGAAAAAGAAAAAGAAACUCAAGGAAGAGGAUAAACAUGAGCAACUGUUCUGUUCUCCUCCACUAACUGUGAAGGAGAGAAAUAUUGUGAAACUCACUGUGAAAUUACCCACAGGGAUUGGAACCGAGUGUCCAAAAAGCUUAUCGAGACAACGGAAC